AGAGCGAACGCUGGCGGCAGGCCUAACACAUGCAAGUCGAGCGCCCGUAGCAAUACGGGAGCGGCAGACGGGAUAGUAACACGUGGGAACGCGCCCUUCGGUUCGGAAUAACUCAGGGAAACUUGAGCUAAUACCGGAUACGCCCUUACGGGGAAAGAUUUAUUGCCGAAGGAACGGCCCGCGUCCGAUUAGCUAGUUGGUGAGGUAAUGGCUCACCAAGGCGACGAUCGGUAGCUGGUCUGAGAGGAUGACCAGCAUCACUGGGACUGAGACACGGCCCAGACUCCUACGGGAGGCAGCAGUGGGGAAUAUUGGACAAUGGGCGCAAGCCUGAUCCAGCCAUGCCGCGUGGAUGAUGAAGGCCUUAGGGUUGUAAAAUUCUUUCAGCGGGGACGAUAAUGACGGUACCCGCAGAAGAAGCCCGGCUAACUUCGCGUCAGCAGCCGC
rnacentral:rRNA from 1 species